UGGCGAACGGGUGAGUAACGCGUGAGGAACCUGCCUCAAAGAGGGGGACAACAGUUGGAAACGACUGCUAAUACCGCAUAAGCCCACGGGUCGGCAUCGACCUGAGGGAAAAGGAGUGAUCCGCUUUGAGAUGGCCUCGCGUCCGAUUAGCUAGUUGGUGAGGUAACGGCCCACCAAGGCAACGAUCGGUAGCCGGACUGAGAGGUUGAACGGCCACAUUGGGACUGAGACACGGCCCAG
rnacentral:rRNA from 1 species